CCUAGAACGAUACAAAGAAUAUUAGCAUGGCCCCUGCGCAAGGUUGACACGCACAAAUCGAGAAAUGGUCCAAAUUUUA
rnacentral:snRNA from 1 species